UGGGGAAUAUUGGACAAUGGGGGCAACCCUGAUCCAGCAAUGCCGCGUGUGUGAAGAAGGCCUGCGGGUUGUAAAGCACUUUCAGUAGAGACGAAAAGCUUAGGGUUAAUACCCUUGAGUCUUGACUUAACCUACAGAAGAAGCACCGGCUAACUCCGUGCCAGCAGCCGCGGUAAUACGGAGGGGGUUAGCGUUGUUCGGAAUUACUGGGCGUAAAGCGCACGUAGGCGGAUCGGAAAGUUGGGGGUGAAAUCCCGGGGCUCAACCCCGGAACUGCCUCCAAAACUAUCGGUCUAGAGUUCGAGAGAGGUGAGUGGAAUUCCGAGUGUAGAGGUGAAAUUCGUAGAUAUUCGGAGGAACACCAGUGGCGAAGGCGGCUCACUGGCUCGAUACUGACGCUGAGGUGCGAAAGUGUGGGGAGCAAACAGGAUUAGAUACCCCUGUAGUCC
rnacentral:rRNA from 1 species